UACGUAGGGUGCAAGCGUUAUCCGGAAUUAUUGGGCGUAAAGAGCUCGUAGGCGGUUUGUCACGUCUGCUGUGAAAACUGGAGGCUCAACCUCCAGCCUGCAGUGGGUACGGGCAGACUAGAGUGCGGUAGGGGAGAUUGGAAUUCCUGGUGUAGCGGUGGAAUGCGCAGAUAUCAGGAGGAACACCGAUGGCGAAGGCAGAUCUCUGGGCCGUAACUGACGCUGAGGAGCGAAAGCAUGGGUAGCGAACAGG
rnacentral:rRNA from 1 species